AUUGAACGCUGGCGGCAGGCCUAACACAUGCAAGUCGAGCGAGCGGCGGACGGGUGAGUAAUGUAUGGGGACUGCCCGAUCGAGGGGGAUAACUACUGGAAACGGUGGCUAAUACCGCAUAAUAUCGGUUACCCCACAUGGGAUUAGCUAGUUGGUGGGGUAAAGGCUCACCUAGGCGACGAUCUCUAGCUGGUCUGCGAGGAUGAUCAGCCAGACUGGGACUAAGACACGGCCCGGACUCAUACGGAGGCAGCAGUAGGGAAUAUUGCACAAUGGGCGCAAGACUGAUGCAGCCAUGCCGCGUGUAUGAAGAAGGCCUUAGGAUUGUAAAAUACUUUCAGCAGGGAAGCGUUACCCGCAGAAGAAGCACCGGCUAACUCCGUGCCAGCAGCCGCGGUAAUAC
rnacentral:rRNA from 1 species